UACGAAGGGGGCUAGCGUUGCUCGGAAUUACUGGGCGUAAAGGGCGCGUAGGCGGACAGUUUAGUCAGAGGUGAAAGCCCAGGGCUCAACCUUGGAAUUGCCUUUGAUACUGGCUGUCUUGAGUUCGGGAGAGGUGAGUGGAACUGCGAGUGUAGAGGUGAAAUUCGUAGAUAUUCGCAAGAACACCAGUGGCGAAGGCGGCUCACUGGCCCGAUACUGACGCUGAGGUGCGAAAGCGUGGGGAGCAAACAGG
rnacentral:rRNA from 1 species